GGGGGAAUAUUGGAGAAUGGGCGAAAGCCUGAUCCAGCCAGGCCGCGUGGGGGAAGAAGGUCUUCGGAUGGUAAAGCACUUUAAGGGGGGAGGAAGGGCAGGAAGAGAAGACCUGGCGGCCGGGACGUGACCGACAGAAUAAGCACCGGGUAACGCGGGGCCAGCAGCCGCGGUAAGACAGAGGGUGCAAGCGUUAAUCGGAAUUACUUGGCGUAAAGCGCGCGUAGGUGGUUCGUUAAGUUGAAUGUGAAAGCCCCGGGCUCAACCUGGGAACUGCAUCCAAAACUGGCGAGCUAGAGUAGGGCAGAGGGUGGUGGAAUUUCCUGUGUAGCGGUGAAAUGCGUAGAUAUAGGAAGGAACACCAGUGGCGAAGGCGACCACCUGGGCUCAUACUGACACUGAGGUGCGAAAGCGUGGGGAGCAAACAGG
rnacentral:rRNA from 1 species